AAUCAACGCUGGCGGCGUGCCUCAGACAUGCAAGUCGAACGAUUAAAGCUCUCUUCGGAGAGUGCAUAGAGUGGCGCACGGGUGAGUAACACGUAAGUAAUCUACCUUCGAGUGGGGAAUAACAGUCGGAAGCGACUGCUAAUACCGCAUAAUGCAGCGGCAUCGCAAGAUGACAGUUGUUAAAGGAGCAAUCCGCUUGAAGAGGAGCUGCGGCAGAUUAGCUAGUUGGUAAGGUAAUGGCUUACCAAGGCAACGAUCUGUAACCGACCUGAGAGGGUGGUCGGUCACACUGACACUGAAUAACGGGUCAGACUCCUACGGGAGGCAGCAGUAAGGAAUAUUGCGCAAUGGGCG
rnacentral:rRNA from 1 species